rnacentral:ncRNA from 1 species
UGGCCGGGACGACCCGGCCAAACAAGGAGCAUGAGCCGGGACGGCCCGG